AUGGGAGGAGUAGCCCACAAUGAAAUCCAUUUUCUCUUUGUGUGUGUGUGUGUGUGUUGGAUUUGGAUCGAGGAAGGGGAUGGCGUGGGGAUGAGGCGGUGGACAGAGGAAGAGGGCGAUGCUGGCUGGCUGAGCGGGCGGAUCUGGUCUCGUUUGUUCUGUAGAGCGGCCAGAGGAGCAGGCCAACAUAACACCAACGUGGUGAGCUUCCCCUCUCCACCAUCUACCCCCAGAUCUGAACAUCAACUACAAUUUAGUUAUACUAAGGACAGUACUUGUGCAAGGCGAAUUGAAAUCGAAAUUUCGCAUGUACACCUGCAAAAAGGAGAUGACCUGCAUGAGUGCAAAGGCUAA
rnacentral:rRNA from 1 species